UAGCAAGUUGUUUCAUUGACUUUAUAUUGGAUCUUUGAAAUUGAUUCUUAACCCAAAUAUAUUUUUUCCAUAGUUCUAACUGAUCUAAUUCCUCCAAUUGGCCUUUUAAUCCAGAAUAUUUUUG